GGGGAUGUGGCUCCAGUGGUAGCGCCCUCGCCUAGCAUGCGUGAGGCACUGGGUCCGAUUCCCAGCACCACA
rnacentral:tRNA from 1 species